rnacentral:lncRNA from 1 species
GAUGUGCAAAACCCGAUGCCGUAGCAGAUCUGGGCGGUUCAAACGCUGCCGGUGUGGUGACCGCCACUACAGAGUGCGGCAGUGCGGCUGCAGAAGUCGGAGACGGUGCUCGCGCCGCCGCCGCAGACGACCCGGACGCCGGCCAGGCAGACCACGUUACCGCUGGCGCUGCCGCUCCCGCUCCGGCUCGUUCAAACGUUGCCGGCGCUGCGACAGGCGCUACAAGCUGCGCAAGCGCUCC